UUAAAGAAUUUGGUUCCGUUAAACGUACGCACGUACCUAUUUGAUGUAAUUUUAAUUUAUGGUUUGUAUUUAUUUCAGUUUAAGUAAAUGGAAUGUUCAAAAUGUGAAACAGACAAAGAAGCAGAACCACUGAUUAAAAAUAAGGGCAGUUUUCAACAGUUUUUAAAGACUCCCAGUACAGCUCAAUCAUUAAUCAAUGGUAUUCAAGGUGGUUUUGGAAUUGGUUUAAUAUGGUUUUUUUAUUCAAAAAAUGUUAAACGCUCAUGUGAUUUAGCCAUUGGUUCUUGGGCAGUUAUUUCCGCACUAUCAUGGCUUUAUUAUACCGAAAGACGCUUGAGCUAUACUAAUACAAUGCAAAUUAUUGCUGCGCUGGAACAGAAGAAACGAAACGCUAAUAAAAAUAAGGCGAUUGAAGAAAGCUAAUGGAAUAGUCACACAUGGUAAAGUUAACCGAAUUUUUGAUACCGAGGAAAAAUCAUAAACCCAGGGUUUAAA